rnacentral:rRNA from 1 species
UACAGAGGUCCCAAGCGUUGUUCGGAUUCACUGGGCGUAAAGCGCACGUAGGCGGAUGUGCCAGUCAGGGGUGAAAUCCCGGAGCUCAACUUCGGAACUGCCUCUGAUACAGCACGUCUUGAGUCCGGAAGAGGUGGGUGGAAUUCCUAGUGUAGAGGUGAAAUUCGUAGAUAUUAGGAAGAACACCGGUGGCGAAGGCGGCCCACUGGUCCGGUACUGACGCUGAGGUGCGAAAGCGUGGGGAGCAAACAGG